GAGAAUAGUUCUCUGCAGUCAGUGGAUGUGAGUAGCAUCUCAGAUCCCAAGCUGUAAUUGUGAGGUCCCGUAGCAUCACUAGCAAACCAGAAACAUGUCUGCCCAGAUGCUGAAGAAAAAGAGUUUUGGAAGUACCAAAUGUCCACGGAGACUGUUCCUGUUCUCGCUCAGAGCCCUGUCCAUGCCUGGUCAUCAAUAUCAAGCUCUACCUAGUGUUUUUCUUGGUGAUUGUGAUACCAGCACCCAUUAUGCCAGCACU